AUUCCCAUUCAACCCACUGAUGAUAGUGUGUGUAUUUGUGGAAGAACGUGUCCCUAGUCAAUGAGACAAAAGAAAGCACACCAGUGAGACUGGUAAGCCACAGUUUUGAGUUGGAAUGGAUCCACACAAAGUGCUUGAACGUGAGAGAACUGGAAUUUAAAAACAAAGAGAUGAAAUUUA